UACGAAGGGGGCUAGCGUUGUUCGGAUUUACUGGGCGUAAAGCGCACGUAGGCGGGUCGUUAAGUCAGGGGUGAAAUCCCGGAGCUCAACUCCGGAACUGCCUUUGAAACUGGCGGGCUUGAGUGUGGCAGAGGGGGGUGGAAUUCCGCGUGUAGCAGUGAAAUGCGUAGAGAUGCGGAGGAACACCGAUGGCGAAGGCAGCCCCCUGGGCCAACACUGACGCUCAGGCACGAAAGCGUGGGGAGCAAACAGG
rnacentral:rRNA from 1 species